rnacentral:rRNA from 1 species
UACGUAGGGUGCAAGCGUUAAUCGGAAUUACUGGGCGUAAAGCGUGCGCAGGCGGUUUUGUAAGUCUGUCGUGAAAGCCCCGGGCUCAACCUGGGAAUUGCGAUGGAGACUGCAAGGCUAGAAUCUGGCAGAGGGGGGUAGAAUUCCACGUGUAGCAGUGAAAUGCGUAGAGAUGUGGAGGAACACCGAUGGCGAAGGCAGCCCCCUGGGUCAAGAUUGACGCUCAUGCACGAAAGCGUGGGGAGCAAACAGGAU